rnacentral:rRNA from 1 species
UACGUAGGGGGCAAGCGUUGGUCCGGAUUUAUUGGGCGUAAAGAGCGUGUAGGCGGCCUGACAAGUCUGCUGUGAAAACUCGAGGCUCAAACCUCGAGAUGUCGGCGGAAACUGUCUGGCUAGAGUCCGGGAAGAGGAGAGUGGAAAUUCCUGGUGUAGCCGGUGAAAUGCGCAAGAUAUCAGGAAGAACACCUAUGGCGAAGGCAGCUCUCUGGGACGGUACUGACGCUGAGACGCGAAAGCGUGGGGAGCGAACAGG